rnacentral:rRNA from 1 species
GAUGAACGCUAGCUACAGGCUUAACACAUGCAAGUCGAGGGGUAACGAGAGGAAAGCUUGCUUUCCUUGUCGACGACCGGCGCACGGGUGAGUAACGCGUAUCCAACCUGCCCCCAACUAGGGAAUAACCUUGCGAAAGUAAGACUAAUACCCUAUAAUUUCCUCAGAUGACAUCUGACGAGGAAUAAAGAUUUAUCGGUUGUGGAUGGGGAUACGUCUGAUUAGCUUGUUGGCGGGGUAACGGCCCACCAAGGCAACGAUCAGUAGGGGUUCUGAGAGGAAGGUCCCCCACAUUGGAACUGAGACACGGUCCAAACUCCUACGGGAGGCAGCAGUGAGGAAUAUUGGUCAAUGGGCGGAAGCCCGAACCAGCCAAGUAGCGUGCAGGAUGACGGCCCUAUGGGUUGUAAACUGCUUUUAUACAGGAAUAAAGUUAGCCACGUGUGGUUAUUUGUAGGUACUGUAUGAAUAAGGACCGGCUAAUUCCGUGCCAGCAGCCGCCGUAA